rnacentral:rRNA from 1 species
UAGGGAAUCUUCCACAAUGGACGCAGGUCUGAUGGAGCAACGCCGCGUGAGUGAAGAAGGUUUUCGGACCGUAAAGCUCUGUUGUUGGUGAAGAAGGAUAGAGGUANUAACUGGCCUUUAUUUGANGGUAAUCAACCAGAAAGUCACGGCUAACUACGUGCCAGCAGCCGCGGUAAUCGUAGGUGGCAAGCGUUGUCCGGAUUUAUUGGGCGUAAAGCGAGCGCAGGCGGAAGAAUAAGUCUGAUGUGAAAGCCCUCGGCUUAACCGAGGAAUUGCAUCGGAAACUGUUUUUCUUGAGUGCAGAAGAGGAGAGUAGAACUCCAUGUGUAGCGGUGGAAUGCGUAGAUAUAUGGAAGAAUACCAGUGGCGAAGGCGGCUCUCUGGUCUGCAACUGACGCUGAGGCUCGAAAGCAUGGGUAGCGAACAGGAUUAGAUACCCUGGUAGUCCAUGCCGUAAACGAUGAGUGCUAAGUGUUGGGAGGCUUCCGCCUCUCAGUGCUGCAGCUAACGCAUUAAGCACUCCGCCUGGGGGAG